GAUGAAUAACGUAGCGAAAUGCGAUAAGUAGUGUGAAUUGCAGAAUUCAGUGAAUCAUCGAAUCUUUGAACGCACAUUGCGCCCUUUGGUAUUCCAAAGGGCAUGCCUGUUCGAGCGUCAUUUGUACCCUCAAGCUUUGCUUGGUGUUGGGCGUCUUGUCUCUAGCUUUGCUGGAGACUCGCCUUAAAGUAAUUGGCAGCCGGCCUACUGGUUUCGGAGCGCAGCACAAGUCGCACUCUCUAUCAGCAAAGGUCUAGCAUCCAUUAAGCCUUUUUUUCAACUUUUGACCUCGGAUCAGGUAGGGAUACCCGCUGAACUUAAGCAUAUCAAUAAGCGGAGGA
rnacentral:misc_RNA from 1 species